rnacentral:snRNA from 1 species
GUCUCUUCGGAGACAUAUGACAAGAUUUGAAAGAUAUAUAGAGAAGAUUAGCAUGGUCCCUGCGCAAGGAUGACACGCACAAAUCGAAAAAUGGUCUAAUUUUUU